rnacentral:rRNA from 1 species
ACAAUCCGCCAGAAGAACUACAAGUGAUAAACUUUAAACUCUAAGGACCUGGCGGUGUCCCACCCGUACUAGAGGAGCCUGUCCUAUAAUCGACACUACACGCUAUACCUCACCCCCCCUUGCCACCUCAACUUGUAUACCGCCGUCACCAGCUCACAAUGUGAAUGCACUGUCGUGAGCAAAACCAUUAACCAUUAAAACGACAGGUCAAGGCGUAGUUCAUGGGGGGGAAAGCGAUGGGCUACAUUUCCUUCACUAGAACACACCACCCGCACCGUGAAAUCUAUGCCCACAGGCGGAUUUAGAAGUAAGCUUGGCAAGACGUGCCAACCUGAAAUACGCCC